rnacentral:rRNA from 1 species
UGGGGAAUUUUGGACAAUGGGCGCAAGCCUGAUCCAGCCAUGCCGCGUGAGUGAAGAAGGCCUUCGGGUUGUAAACUGCUUUUGUACGGAACGAAAAGACUCUGGUUAAUACCUGGGGUCCAUGACGGUACCGUAAGAAUAAGCACCGGCUAACUACGUGCCAGCAGCCGCGGUAAUACGUAGGGUGCGAGCGUUAAUCGGAAUUACUGGGCGUAAAGCGUGCGCAGGCGGUUAUGUAAGACAGGCGUGAAAUCCCCGGGCUCAACCUGGGAAUGGCGCUUGUGACUGCAAAGCUGGAGUGCGGCAGAGGGGGAUGGAAUUCCGCGUGUAGCAGUGAAAUGCGUAGAUAUGCGGAGGAACACCGAUGGCGAAGGCAAUCCCCUGGGCCUGCACUGACGCUCAUGCACGAAAGCGUGGGGAGCAGACAGGAUUAGAUACCCUAGUAGUCCCUGAGCGGGCUGGCAAGGCGCAU